UUAAGUUCAGCGGGUAGUCCUGACUGAUUUGAGGUCUAAAGCUUAGGUUUAGAUGUCGCAUUAGAAGCACCACUAAUGUUUAAAGAAUGUGACGUCCUCAGCGAAAUAUGUUAUUACGCCGAGUCAAACCGUCUAUUUCUUAGAAAUGGGUAGCUCGUGUAUUUCAGCCGAGUCGACAAUUACGCCGGCAGCAGCCAUAA
rnacentral:misc_RNA from 1 species